GAUCUGCCAAGCAGGCUAGACGGGUGACAGUUGUCUCCACUGAGCUGCUCCAGGCCUGGAGAGCCACAAUGGAACUACCAGAGGCCUGAAGACCUGAAGUAGUGUGAUGUGGUCCAGAUCUUACACCCCUAUUCGCUCAACUACAGCCCUCACAUCUGCAGUUGUCUGCCCUGCACCUGCUAUACAGAGUUAACAGGUAUCCCAGGCAUCCUUGUUUCUCAGUCAGAACACUGGAAUGUGAGAUGGGAUCUACACCUCCAUUAAAAUAAUAGAAAUCCUCACUUCGUUUCAUGUUUUUCAAUUUGAGCUAAUACUUUCUCCUUCUCAACAUCUAACGCGAGGGGGACGGUGUGGCUUCGUGACGAUGAUCACAAGGGGGGUCGUUGCUCACCUGUUUGACGGCUCCAACGCAGUUACACCUCCGACUCCGACAAAACAUCAGCUAUGCCGGUGUCGGAUAUUACCUGUUAAGACUUGAUCGGAUUGAAUCUUACAGUCAAUCACUCUGUUUCGUUAUAUUAUCCUUGUCAUUUAAUAAAAUUGUGCCUCUCUUUUAGAUCUGCCACCCACCCUGCCAGCAGUCCUCUGCUGUGGUAUUUCAUUUCCCGGCUACACCAGUUCCCACUACACUGGCCGUGACGGGAGACACUUUGAAGACGCCCAGAUGGAUACAGAUCUGCCUUGCACUCCACCACUGCCCCUGACAGCCUCACCCGGAAGUGCGUGCAGACCGACAAAGUAGAGAUGGGUGUCUGACAAGAAAAAAUAAAACACAACCUACACACACACACACACUCUCUAUCUCUCUUUCUCUGUCGAUGUAAAUCAAAAUAUAACUGCUUAUUAUUUUAUGUUUGCU